AGCAGUAGCCGCGGUAAUACGAAGGGUGCAAGCGUUACUCGGAAUUACUGGGCGUAAAGCGUGUGUAGGUGGUUGUUUAAGUCUGUCGUGAAAGCCCUGUGCUCAACCUGGGAAUUGCGAUGGAUACUGGGCGACUAGAGUGCGGUAGAGGAUAGUGGAAUUUCCGGUGUAGCAGUGAAAUGCGUAGAGAUCGGAAGGAACAUCUGUGGCGAAGGCGACUAUCUGGGCCAACACUGACACUGAGACACGAAAGCAUGGGGAGCAAACAGGAUUAGAUACCCCUGUAGUCCCUGUCUCUUAUAC
rnacentral:rRNA from 1 species